CCUACGGGUGGCAGCAGUGAGGAAUAUUGGUCAAUGGGAGGAAUCCUGAACCAGCCAUGCCGCGUGAGUGAGGAAGUAUCUCGGUAUGUAAAGCUCUAUCAGCGGGGAAGAAAGAGGACGGUACCCGACUAAGAAGCACCGGCUAACUACGUGCCAGCAGCCGCGGUAAUACGUAGGGGGCGAGCGUUAUCCGGAUUUACUGGGUGUAAAGGGAGCGUAGACGGCGUCGCAAGUCUGAAGUGAAAGCCCGUGGCUCAACCGCGGAACCGCUUUGGAAACUGCGAGGCUGGAGUGCUGGAGAGGUAAGCGGAAUUCCUGGUGUAGCGGUGAAAUGCGUAGAUAUCAGGAGGAACACCGGGGGCGAAGGCGGCUUACUGGACAGUGACUGACGUUGAGGCUCGAAAGCGUGGGGAGCGAACAGGAUUAGAUACCCUAGUAGUC
rnacentral:rRNA from 1 species